UUCUUGUGUUCUUCAAUCCAGCUCUCCACAAUUACAUCAACUUCCUUGGUUACACGCUUCAUGGUUUUAACAAUUCCUCCAAUAUCCAACCAUCCCAGGAAUGGAAUUAAAUCUCCAGGAACAAGAGCUCCUGUCACGAACAUAAACUCCCUGAUAAUUUCCCCAAUCGGACGACCUGAUUCGCUCCUUGCUUCUUUAUUGCCGUCGAAGAACCUCUUCCCUGCAACCAUCCUGGUAACCAUAUUCAAGAUCAAAUGCUCGAUACGUUCACUCAUGUUGAUCUUAGCAUUCGCGUUGUUCUUGUAAUGCAAGUACAAGUCUUUAACCAAGUAGUUCACCUCCGAUAUCUGAACAUAAUUCAAUAUCUUAGUCCUGUGGCUCGACAGGAGCUCAAUGGUAGCCAAUUUACGCAUAUUGCGCCAAUAGGUACCGUAAGGAGCGAAGCCAAACGAUGCAUAGUCGUAGCCGACAUGGAU
rnacentral:lncRNA from 1 species